ACAUUUAAGCACCGGUUCCCAUACGAUCACCGUAGUUAAGCAAAGUCGAGCCUGCUCAGUACCUAGAUGGGUGACCGCUUGGGAAUACUAGGUGCUAU